UGGUUGUGGGUUCGAGCCCACAUGGCCGCACACACGUGUAUUUUCAUAUGAAAAAUCAUGUGAAUUAUGACUGAGGAACAAUUUGUAGCUACAAAUCAGCCAAAAGUGCAAUUGGUUUACUCAGGUUUUGAAUCAAGUUCAGCCUCUCUUGGACAGAUGCACAAGAAUGCAUACAGAUAUCACGGGUUUCCAUCAAAACAACAAAGUUGUACUUCCUACUAACUGAGCUUGGAUAGUCUUCUCUUUGAUUUUGUGUUCGAUUUU
rnacentral:lncRNA from 1 species